AUGGUGAACCUGGGCCUGUCCUAAGUGGACAACACAGUGGCUACAAAGCCCCCGGCACCAGCAUGGCCUUUGGCUUGCAGAUGUUCAUUCAGAGGAAGUUUCCAUACCUUUUGUAGUGGAGCCUACUAGUGGCUGUGGUCUCAGGCUCCGUGGCCAGCUACAGGGUAACAAUAGUGGAGUCAGAGAAAUGCAACAACCUCUGGCUCUUCCUGGAGACCAGGCAGCUCCCCAAAGACAUGAGCACAGAUCAGCAAA
rnacentral:lncRNA from 1 species